rfam:Camelus ferus unplaced genomic scaffold scaffold726, whole genome shotgun sequence.
AAGGGUAUGGUUCAAGUGGUAGAGCGCAUGCUCAGCAUGCAAGAGGUCCCGGGUUCAAUCCCCGGUACCUCCU